rnacentral:rRNA from 1 species
GGUUAAGUGACUAAGCGUACACGGUGGAUGCCUGGGCAGUCAGAGGCGAUGAAGGACGUACUAACUUGCGAUAAGCGCAGAUAAGGCAGUAAGAGCCGUUUGAGUCUGCGAUUUCCGAAUGGGGAAACCCAACUGCAUAAGCAGUUACUGUUAACUGAAUACAUAGGUUAACAGAGCAAACCGGGGGAACUGAAACAUCUAAGUACCCCGAGGAGAAGAAAUCAACCGAGAUUCCGGUAGUAGCGGCGAGCGAACCUGGAUUAGCCCUUAAGCACUCGGUGAAGUAGGUGAACAAGCUGGAAAGCUUGGCGAUACAGGGUGAUAGCCCCGUAACCGACGCUUCAUCGAGCGUGAAAUCGAGUAGGGCGGGACACGUGAUAUCCUGUCUGAAUAUGGGGGGACCAUCCUCCAAGGCUAAAUACUCCUGACUG